UCCCAUGUGGCUCAGUUGGUAGAGCAUGGUGCUUGCAAUGCCAGGGUUGUGGUUCUGAUUUCCAUGGGGG
rnacentral:tRNA from 1 species